ensembl:lncRNA
GCUUUCAACUGGAACAUAAUUCUCUUGAUUAUUGGUUGGUGCUGCGACACAGUAGGGAUACAGAUAAUUGUCACUGUGCACAUGCUGCUGGAAAUGUAAAAUUAUUAUCUUUAGAGAGGUUGAGUAGGGUGUUUGAGCACGAAUGUUACGCAGCUCGGGCACGUGGAAUGUGUAGAGCACUCAUCUGUUGGCUGCCUCCCUUCCUCUGCUGGCCCGGCUCGCUGGUUCUGGGCGACACCCAGCUCCGGGAGCAUCCUGCCGGUCACUCAGUGGCGAGGAAAGGACAGCAGCAACCUAGAAAUGGGAAACAAGAUAGAAAAACAGAAACCAAAAUCCUGAAAUCUCCACUGACAUGGACACUGAGAUCUUGUCCUCUGGAUGACAUAGCCAUCACCCUCAGGCUAACCUGCCAUCUGUGAUGAGAAGACUCCCUGAUGAAGUUCUUCCCAACCAGCUUUCACCUAUGCCUCCCAAAAGGAGAGAUCUCCACUUCUCUCAGAAACGCUAUCUUUUGCAGAAUCAAGUGGCUUUUAAAGUGCGUCUUUCUCUCACCCCUGGUUUGAGUGUGAAUAUGAUUGCCACCAUCUUGGAUCCGAUGGAAGACACAGCACCUUGAGGAAAGUUGAACAAGAGAGAUUGCUGCUACUGUGGAUCUUCAAUGCCAGCUCCUUACUUCUUAUAUUUGGACAGGGACGUGAUUAAAU